CAUUACAUAUUUUCUUUAAUAUUUAUUUAAUAUUGUACCUUUAUUCCCAUUUAUUGGGGAAAAUCAAAAAAUGAUCUCUACGUAUCUCCCGUCAGACUUCCUGUCAGAAAAAGUGCCAUCAUUGUAAAUCUGAGCAAAAUUUCUGGUAGAAAAGUUGUUUGCAAAAAAGAUAAUAAUACAAAUUGUGAAACCAAUAAUCAACUAAAUAUAUUUUUAAAUACA